rnacentral:rRNA from 1 species
AUGUGCUUCAGGAUGUACAGCCGCAACAACAGGCUGGAUUACCAAUUGUUCUUCCGCACAAGAGGUGCCUUUAGGUCUCUUGGCUGGAAUGGGCUUAUCUCGCUCAUAUGCUUCUUCAAUGUUCUGAUGGGCAUUCUUGUUAUAUGGGGCAAUGAUACAAUAAUACUGAUAGUGACUUUGUCAGUAGUGGCACUACUUGUGAUUGGUUCAAUUCUAUGUCGAGAAGCUGCAAUUCCACCCAUGUUAGGCCGCAUGAUCUCAUUAUGGAGCCCAAUGGUUGCAAUCCUACUGCUUUGUCCCUCUGUAUGGCACUCCUAUAAGUUCAAAGAAAAUUUGAUCUUUCAAAGACAUGGCUCAGUUGCCAACUGCACACUGUACUUGGUACUAUUUGUGGUAGUGCUCGUACUCACAAUCAGCAGGCUGAGGUUCCCAAGCAUCAACAAACUAGCAGACUGGGUUCUUGGCAGCAAAAUAGCAUUUUGGCAACGAGUUGUUCUGAACUUGUGCAUGUUUGCUGCGACAGUGAUGUCAGUGUUCAAUUUUCAUAGAAGAGGUAUAUUUGUGCUGAUCAUAAUGGACAUACUUGUUCUAAUGAUAACUUCAUUUGGCAACCUCCAAAUUCCGGCAGCAAUAUUCCGAAUUGGGCUGGCACUGUGGCGCCUUAUAGUUAUGCGAAAAGAUUAUAAUGACCAGAAAACCAAUGAGAAUACGAAAAACCUUCUGUCAUCUCUCUACAUCUUUUAUGUGAUGGUGCUUGGCCAAGGGAUACUCUAUAUUGUUGCCGGCAUCUUUGAUAUCUUUUCAUUCAUCCUACGAAGAUCACUCAUCCGUCGUGCUGGAUUUGGAGGACCCUCGGGAGUGAAAUAUGUCAAUUUGUACUAUGCAUAUGCCUUCGAUAGAUGCAUGGAAGGUGCUAUGCUUGGCCCAAAGAAGACCAACCUCAUCAUAUUUGCAAUGGAUUCUUUAAAGUCAAACUCUCCCAAGAUGCAACUCUAUGGUCUUAAGAUGCUUCACAGCUUUCUAAAAAAGGAGCCCCUAAGGACUAUGGCCAUAUUAGAACUCACCACUUGUACAAAGGCAGUGACCUGCUUGAUCAACAUGUUGGGCUGGACAAGUGAGGGGGCUACAGAUAUUCGAUCAUUCGCCGCGAAGGUCACGGCCCAGCUUGCUGAAAACCUCCGAGUUGUCCCUACCCCUGGGGCGACACAUCUCAUAGCCUCACUUUUGGACACUGUUCAAGGACAUAAUAUAAAGAACCCUCUUUUGGAGACUGGUAGCCCUGAGACAAAACAAGAUAACCUGAUUCAGCAUGUUGGCAGCAACGAGCUGACCUCCCCGAUGCUUAAGUGGUUGAAACAGAUGGCACUAUACUGUUUGAUUCCGAGAGAGGAGCCAACUAACAUGGAUGAACAAAAUACCCACAUACUUAGAUGCUGGAGAAAGAUUACAAAACAUUGGUCUGUUCCAGAGGAGGAGACAUCAACCGACCAGGAUCUCCUCCCUGUACAGGGCAUGUUGAUUCUUGAAAGGCUUGCUACCUUUGAUCCUGAGAACUGUAUAGAAAUCAGCAGAGCAACAGGCCUCUUGUCAAAGGUCAUAGAGUUCACAAGCAACAGAGGUGACAUGAUAAAUAUUGACGAGACACUGCUGAAAGGUUCAUCGUUGAAGCUUCUGAGAAGACUCGCAAGUACUAAAGGCAAAUUUGGUGUAACUUUGCGUCAGAUGAUUACAGAACAUCUCUUCCUUUGGAGCAACCUUGCAGAGAUCUUGGAUAACAGAGGGAGCAGCCAAGAACUUAGGGAGCUUACAGCAGAACUCAUUAGAAACUUUGCCAUGGAUGGAAAUGUGAAUAAUGAGAUCGGGCACAUCCCGAUGAUCAUUAGCAGGUUGAUGCAUGCAUUUCUUAGCCAAGGCGCAUCCUCAAGUGCAGUUUCAGAUCAGUUACUACGAAUGAACGCUGGGCAAGCACUAGCACUACUGGCAAUGGAGAGUGUCAAUAACUGUCUGGUUAUGUUAGCAGAACCAGGGUAUGUCUUCAUCAAGGAACUCACAAUUAUGAUCCAUAGUGGCAGGUACAGGUGCAUAGCUUCAAGCCUGCUGCAAAAUAUGUGUGUGCAUGCUCAAUUUGAGCUUGGCGACUCGGACCUGAAGGAAAUCUCCUACAUUACAAGAGAGGUGAGCGCUGCAAAUGUGGUUAUAUGCGCGGAUAUUGUACCUUAA